rnacentral:tRNA from 1 species
UCCCUGGUGGGCCAGGGGUUAGGACUCUGCUCUUCCACUGCAGGGGGCACAAGUUCGAUCCUUGGUCAGGGAA